UUUUUUUUCUUUAAAAAUAAUUUAUUCAUUUCCGAUCACAAGGUACAGGGAGGAUGCAAGGGCAAUGCCUGUGACUCCUAUGCUGGCUGUCACCUGUCUGUC